GCACUGGUGGCACAAUGGCUAAGUGCUCGGCUGCUAACUGAAAGGUUGGUGGUUCGAACCCACCCAGCAGCU
rfam:Loxodonta africana unplaced genomic scaffold scaffold_13, whole genome shotgun sequence.